AGUCGAACGGGAAUCUUCGGAUUCUAGUGGCGGACGGGUGAGUAACGCGUAAGAAUCUAACUUCAGGACGGGGACAACAGUUGGAAACGACUGCUAAUACCCGAUAUGCCGCGAGGUGAAACCUAAUUGGCCUGAAGAAGAGCUUGCGUCUGAUUAGCUAGUUGGUGGGGUAAGAGCCUACCAAGGCGACGAUCAGUAGCUGGUCUGAGAGGAUGAGCAGCCACACUGGGACUGAGACACGGCCCAGACUCCUACGGGAGGCAGCAGUGGGGAAUUUUCCGCAAUGGGCGAAAGCCUGACGGAGCAACGCCGCGUGAGGGAGGAAGGUCUUUGGAUUGUAAACCUCUUUUCUCAAGGAAGAAGUUCUGACGGUACUUGAGGAAUCAGCCUCGGCUAACUCCGUGCCAGCAGCCGCGGUAAUACGGGGGAGGCAAGCGUUAUCCGGAAUUAUUGGGCGUAAAGCGUCCGCAGGUGGUCAGCCAAGUCUGCCGUCAAAUCAGGUUGCUUAACGACCUAAAGGCGGUGGAAACUGGCAGACUAGAGAGCAGUAGGGGUAGCAGGAAUUCCCAGUGUAGCGGUGAAAUGCGUAGAGAUUGGGAAGAACAUCGGUGGCGAAAGCGUGCUACUGGGCUGUAUCUGACACUCAGGGACGAAAGCUAGGGGAGCGAAAGGGAUUAGAUACCCCUGUAGUCCUAGCCGUAAACGAUGGAUACUAGGCGUGGCUUGUAUCGACCCGAGCCGUGCCGAAGCUAACGCGUUAAGUAUCCCGCCUGGGGAGUACGCACGCAAGUGUGAAACUCAAAGGAAUUGACGG
rnacentral:rRNA from 1 species